GAUGAACGCUGGCGGCGUGCCUAAUACAUGCAAGUCGAGCGAAGCGGGGACGGGUGAGUCACACGUAGAUAACCUCCUAUAAAAGUGGGAUAACUACGGGACACCGGAGCUAAACCGGAUACUUAUAGUGGAACCGGCUCGGCAUUAGCUAGUUGUUAAGGUAACGGCUGACCAGGGCAACGAUGCAUAGCCGACCUGAGAGGGUGAUCGUCCACACGGUAACGUAGCGACGGUCCAGACUCCUACGGGAGGCAGCAUUAGGGAAUCUUCCGCAAUGGGCGAAAGCCUGACGGAGCAACGCCGCGUGGUGGAUGAAGUUCUUGGAAUCAUAAAACUCUUUUAUUGGGGAAGCGGUACCUAAUCAGAAAGCGACGGCUAACUACGUGCCAGCAGCCGCGGUAAUAC
rnacentral:rRNA from 1 species